CCUACGGGGCGCUGCAGUGGGGAAUAUUGGACAAUGGGCGAAAGCCUGAUCCAGCCAUGCCGCGUGUGUGAAGAAGGCCUUCGGGUUGUAAAGCACUUUCAGUGGGGAAGAAAGCCUUGGGGCUAAUACCCUCGAGGAAGGACAUCACCCACAGAAGAAGCACCGGCUAACUCCGUGCCAGCAGCCGCGGUAAUACGGAGGGUGCGAGCGUUAAUCGGAAUUACUGGGCGUAAAGCGCGCGUAGGUGGUCUGAUAAGCCGGUUGUGAAAGCCCCGGGCUCAACCUGGGAACGGCAUCCGGAACUGUCAGGCUAGAGUGCAGGAGAGGAAGGUAGAAUUCCCGGUGUAGCGGUGAAAUGCGUAGAGAUCGGGAGGAAUACCAGUGGCGAAGGCGGCCUUCUGGACUGACACUGACGCUGAGGUGCGAAAGCGUGGGUAGCAAACAGGAUUAGAUACCCUAGUAGUC
rnacentral:rRNA from 1 species